rnacentral:rRNA from 1 species
CCUACGGGAGGCAGCAGUGGGGAAUAUUGGACAAUGGGGGCAACCCUGAUCCAGCGAUGCCGCGUGUGCGAAGAAGGCCUGCGGGUUGUAAAGCACUUGAUGAGAAUUACCGUUACCCACAGAACAAGCACCGGCUAACUCUGUGCCAGCAGCCGCGGUAAUACAGAGGGUGCGAGCGUUAAUCGGAAUUACUGGGCGUAAAGGGCGCGUAGGCGGAUUAUUAAGUUAGAUGUGAAAUCCCUGGGCUUAACCUGGGAAUGGCAUUUAAUACUGGUAGUCUAGAGUAGAGUAGAGGAAAGUGGAAUUUCCGGUGUAGCGGUGAAAUGCGUAGAGAUCGGAAAGAACACCAGUGGCGAAGGCGGCUUCCUGGACUCUCUGACGCUGAGGCGCGAAAGCGUGGGGAGCAAACAGGAUUAGAUACCCUUGUAGUC